GUCAUGUCCAUGUAAUUGAUAUAUACUUAUUAUUUUUUUAUUUGUAAAUAAGUCUAUAUAUACAGAAUUAUAUAAAAUUUAUAGGCAUGUAAAAAUUGAAGGAUUCAAAGUAUUGUGGAUGCGUUUGGAUAUCAAUGGAUAGGUAUAUCAGAAAAAUGUUAAAAGCAUAAAACACUUGAAUUUCUUGAAAAACGGGUAAAAACCUAGUAAAAAUCAUAAAGAGCAAGCAAGGAAGCGAUAUUGAGAAGGAAAAAUCCGAAUGUGGGUCAACAGAAAUUUUAGUACUGUACUUAUGGUAGAUCUAGUGGUCUGGGCAAGCAGUCAAGUUUUGUAGGAGGUGAGGUGACUGAGAAUUCCAACUAUUUCUCUUCUGGCAAUCCUACUAACAACAACAACAGAUCCUGGUUCAUCGCUAUUUCACAAAAGAUAGUGAAAUAAUCAUCAAAGAGGAAGGCGAGGCAUCUUCACAUUUACUUUUGCGAAGAGUUUCUAGUUGAGGAUGGUCGUGUUAUGAAAAAAGUGAUGACAUUUCUAGCACAGAAUGUUUAACCACCAAUUAAGUUGGAAGUUGGUCUGGAAUCAUAUGGAAAAAGUAUAAUUUUCAAAAAUCAGAAAUACUGUUGAACAUUGUUGAGUUCUCAUAACAGAGGAGAAUUAUUCCAUUGUAAAAUUUGCACAAAAGCUUCUAUUCAGAAAGCUGACCCGAAAGUACAUGAAAGAACUCAUAAUGGAGAAAACCCCCUCCAUUGUAAGAUUUGCACAAAAACUUUGUGCAAAUUUUACAAUGGAGGGGUUUUUUUCCAGUAUGAGUUCCUUUAUGAGCUUUCAAGUUUUCACUGUGAAAGUAAUUUUGCAAAUUUGUAUGUUAUAAAAUUUGCACAAUUUCUCUCACAGUGAAAACUUGAAAGUUCUUGAAAGAAAUAUCUCCAAGGGGAUCUUAGAAAUUUCAUAUAUCAGUUAGAUAGAUAGCAAGAUAGAUUGUAUUCUUAAAUCAUAUUGGAAUAUUCACCUAAUUGAACUUGAAACACUGAGGCAUGCAAUAAAACAAAUAUUAAAUAUCCUCUAUGUUGUUAGAAUUAAGUAACUCAAUUAUAUUAAUAAAAACAUUUUAAAAAAU